GGUUAAGCGACUAAGCGUACACGGUGGAUGCCCUGGCAGUCAGAGGCGAUGAAGGACGUGCUAAUCUGCGAUAAGCGUCGGUAAGGUGAUAUGAACCGUUAUAACCGGCGAUUUCCGAAUGGGGAAACCCAGUGUGAUUCGUCACACUAUCAUUAACUGAAUCCAUAGGUUAAUGAGGCGAACCGGGGGAACUGAAACAUCUAAGUACCCCGAGGAAAAGAAAUCAACCGAGAUUCCCCCAGUAGCGGCGAGCGAACGGGGAGGAGCCCAGAGCCUGAAUCAGUGUGUGUGUUAGUGGAAGCGUCUGGAAAGGCGCGCGAUACAGGGUGACAGCCCCGUACACAAAAAUGCACAUGCUGUGAGCUCGAUGAGUAGGGCGGGACACGUGGUAUCCUGUCUGAAUAUGGGGGGACCAUCCUCCAAGGCUAAAUACUCCUGACUGACCGAUAGUGAACCAGUACCGUGAGGGAAAGGCGAAAAGAACCCCGGCGAGGGGAGUGAAAAAGAACCUGAAACCGUGUACGUACAAGCAGUGGGAGCACGCUUAGGCGUGUGACUGCGUACCUUUUGUAUAAUGGGUCAGCGACUUAUAUUCUGUAGCAAGGUUAACCGAAUAGGGGAGCCGAAGGGAAACCGAGUCUUAACUGGGCGUUAAGUUGCAGGGUAUAGACCCGAAACCCGGUGAUCUAGCCAUGGGCAGGUUGAAGGUUGGGUAACACUAACUGGAGGACCGAACCGACUAAUGUUGAAAAAUUAGCGGAUGACUUGUGGCUGGGGGUGAAAGGCCAAUCAAACCGGGAGAUAGCUGGUUCUCCCCGAAAGCUAUUUAGGUAGCGCCUCGUGAAUUCAUCUCCGGGGGUAGAGCACUGUUUCGGCAAGGGGGUCAUCCCGACUUACCAACCCGAUGCAAACUGCGAAUACCGGAGAAUGUUAUCACGGGAGACACACGGCGGGUGCUAACGUCCGUCGUGAAGAGGGAAACAACCCAGACCGCCAGCUAAGGUCCCAAAGUCAUGGUUAAGUGGGAAACGAUGUGGGAAGGCCCAGACAGCCAGGAUGUUGGCUUAGAAGCAGCCAUCAUUUAAAGAAAGCGUAAUAGCUCACUGGUCGAGUCGGCCUGCGCGGAAGAUGUAACGGGGCUAAACCAUGCACCGAAGCUGCGGCAGCGACGCUUAUGCGUUGUUGGGUAGGGGAGCGUUCUGUAAGCCUGUGAAGGUGUGCUGUGAGGCAUGCUGGAGGUAUCAGAAGUGCGAAUGCUGACAUAAGUAACGAUAAAGCGGGUGAAAAGCCCGCUCGCCGGAAGACCAAGGGUUCCUGUCCAACGUUAAUCGGGGCAGGGUGAGUCGACCCCUAAGGCGAGGCCGAAAGGCGUAGUCGAUGGGAAACAGGUUAAUAUUCCUGUACUUGGUGUUACUGCGAAGGGGGGACGGAGAAGGCUAUGUUGGCCGGGCGACGGUUGUCCCGGUUUAAGCGUGUAGGCUGGUUUUCCAGGCAAAUCCGGAAAAUCAAGGCUGAGGCGUGAUGACGAGGCACUACGGUGCUGAAGCAACAAAUGCCCUGCUUCCAGGAAAAGCCUCUAAGCAUCAGGUAACAUCAAAUCGUACCCCAAACCGACACAGGUGGUCAGGUAGAGAAUACCAAGGCGCUUGAGAGAACUCGGGUGAAGGAACUAGGCAAAAUGGUGCCGUAACUUCGGGAGAAGGCACGCUGAUAUGUAGGUGAAGUCCCUCGCGGAUGGAGCUGAAAUCAGUCGAAGAUACCAGCUGGCUGCAACUGUUUAUUAAAAACACAGCACUGUGCAAACACGAAAGUGGACGUAUACGGUGUGACGCCUGCCCGGUGCCGGAAGGUUAAUUGAUGGGGUUAGCGCAAGCGAAGCUCUUGAUCGAAGCCCCGGUAAACGGCGGCCGUAACUAUAACGGUCCUAAGGUAGCGAAAUUCCUUGUCGGGUAAGUUCCGACCUGCACGAAUGGCGUAAUGAUGGCCAGGCUGUCUCCACCCGAGACUCAGUGAAAUUGAACUCGCUGUGAAGAUGCAGUGUACCCGCGGCAAGACGGAAAGACCCCGUGAACCUUUACUAUAGCUUGACACUGAACAUUGAGCCUUGAUGUGUAGGAUAGGUGGGAGGCUUUGAAGUGUGGACGCCAGUCUGCAUGGAGCCGACCUUGAAAUACCACCCUUUAAUGUUUGAUGUUCUAACGUUGACCCGUAAUCCGGGUUGCGGACAGUGUCUGGUGGGUAGUUUGACUGGGGCGGUCUCCUCCUAAAGAGUAACGGAGGAGCACGAAGGUUGGCUAAUCCUGGUCGGACAUCAGGAGGUUAGUGCAAUGGCAUAAGCCAGCUUGACUGCGAGCGUGACGGCGCGAGCAGGUGCGAAAGCAGGUCAUAGUGAUCCGGUGGUUCUGAAUGGAAGGGCCAUCGCUCAACGGAUAAAAGGUACUCCGGGGAUAACAGGCUGAUACCGCCCAAGAGUUCAUAUCGACGGCGGUGUUUGGCACCUCGAUGUCGGCUCAUCACAUCCUGGGGCUGAAGUAGGUCCCAAGGGUAUGGCUGUUCGCCAUUUAAAGUGGUACGCGAGCUGGGUUUAGAACGUCGUGAGACAGUUCGGUCCCUAUCUGCCGUGGGCGCUGGAGAACUGAGGGGGGCUGCUCCUAGUACGAGAGGACCGGAGUGGACGCAUCACUGGUGUUCGGGUUGUCAUGCCAAUGGCACUGCCCGGUAGCUAAAUGCGGAAGAGAUAAGUGCUGAAAGCAUCUAAGCACGAAACUUGCCCCGAGAUGAGUUCUCCCUGACUCCUUGAGAGUCCUGAAGGAACGUUGAAGACGACGACGUUGAUAGGCCGGGUGUGUAAGCGCAGCGAUGCGUUGAGCUAACCGGUACUAAUGAACCGUGAGGCUUAACCUU
rnacentral:rRNA from 1 species